AUGACCGCGACCCCGCGGCAACUGGCAAACCCCUCGGCUCCCGGCGCCGCCACCUCGGUCCCCACCCGAGGCGCACGGCCGCCCGACUCGAGGCUGGCUCAGCUGAAUCCUCUCUGCGGGGCACGAAUGGAGCGCCGGGAGCUCGGGAAGAAGGCGGCGCGCGGACGAGGAACGGACGGAGAGCCUUCGGCUGCCGGGACAGCGCCAAAGGGACGCGGCGACUCGCGCACGUCUCAGGACAUAUCGAGGCUUGGGAAAUCCCCUCCACCCCCGUUCUUAAGAGGGGAGUACACCCAGAAAGUGCAUGUGAUGGAGUGGAGAGGAAUCCGCGCGCGGCGACUACCCGCAGCGCACCCUGCUCCCACUCUCACUCGCGGAGCUGGCCACGGCAGUCGCGGAUCCCUGGCAGGGAGGCUGAGUUCGCUGGGCCGAGCGCGUGAGGGUGGUCGGAAACAAGGCAGGAGGCGGCUUGGGAAAAAGUGGAGCAGAAAUGGAAAAAUACAAACUCACCCGCAGCAAAUGGUCUCUCGGUGCAAACUAAGGUGUUUUCGGGCCUUUCCCCGAGCGCGCCCACUCCCGCCCGCGCGCGCACCCCCGCAAACACACUCACUUGGUCACACACGCGCGCGCGCUCACAUAUACACACACACACACACAGACACACACGCACACACACACGCACUCCCGGGCGAGGGCCGGGCCGCGCGAGUACAGCAUGAAACCGCCACACAAUAAAUAACAAUAGAUUCCUCCGCUCCGGACUAGCUUCCCGGAGCCCAGCUAGCGCCAGUGGUGGCGGCGGCCGCAGAGGCGCGGACGGCGUCGGGCCCGGGGCUUUCCCCAGCCUGCUCCCACCCCUGGCAUCCAGCCUGGGCCCCUUCUCCACCUCACGCGCCCACAAACCACCCCCGGGCUUGAGCCUGCUCACCCUCCUUCCCCAAGACACUUAGGUGCUGGUGCCCGCCCCCACCCCCACCCCCGGAACAAAUAAAUAAAUAAGGCGCGCGCGAGGCCAACACGUCGCGGAGG
rnacentral:lncRNA from 1 species